rnacentral:ncRNA from 2 species
AAGAAAAAACAGGGGAGCUCGUGCAGGCGGGCUGAGAGGAAGUGCUCCAACUUCGACCCUUUCACCUGAUGCGGGUAAUGCCGCCGUAGGAAGUUGACCUCAUGGCUUU